UUAUUGCUAGGGUCUAGCUUAAAUAUAAUAGAUACACAGUAAAGUUUGUGAGAAAGAGAGGGUUGGGUGGAAGGAUAGAUGGAUAGAUACAUUAAUACAUGGGAAAAGAAUAUUUUUGCUUCCUAAAUGAUAGCAAGUAAAAACAGCUUUUUCCGGAGUGAAGUAGAGAUGGAAAUGUUAGACCUACCACAAGGAGGCACUAGAGUUCCACAUGGGUUCCUUCUGCCAAGAAAAGCCAGAUCCAACCAAGGAUCUUGACCCGGGCUGAUGCCUUCUGACAGAUGUCUGAUGAAGCCAAAAUGGGCCAGGAGGGGUUGCUUGAAAUGAGGACUGUGGGGGAAAUUAAUGCAAAGUGAUUACAGCACAGCUAUAGCAAAGAGGGAUGAUCACGUUAAACGGACUCUGACACAGAAGGACUCCCCUCCACCUUUGGAAAACAUCCCCCUCCUCCCCCUGAAGCCGUAUCAGAUGUUCUUGCCUCUC
rnacentral:lncRNA from 1 species